rnacentral:tRNA from 2 species
AGGAGCUUAGGAUAACUUUAAACCGAGAACCUUCAAAGUUCUAAAUAGGGAUUUAAACCCCUAGCUCCUG